rnacentral:rRNA from 1 species
AUGGGUGCUUAUGAAAUUGAAUCUUUGUUUAAAGAUUUUGAAGAUUCAGUUUAUAGACCUGAAAAUUUUGCUAUACUUAAAUAUUGCUAUGUGAGUUAUGAAUUCAAUUCCGAUAUUGAUGAUUUUAUUGAGAGAGUCUUUGCUGUUCAAGAAGAGACUAAUAUUUUGCGGGAGUCUAUGGAAGAAGAAAUUAAUGACAUUGUGAGCUCAUUGGAUGAAAAAAAUGAGGAGGAGAGCGAAGAACAAAAGGAGGAAGAGCGGAUUGAUCACCCGUGCCCACCUUCUAAUGAGAGUAACUCUUCAACUCAUACAUUGUUUAAUUUCUCUUCGUGCUUACCGAAGGAUGAUUGCUAUAAUGAUUGUUAUGAUUCUGUUGAUUCUUUUGAAAUAUUCCUUUUUGAGGAUGCUUGCUAUGCUUGUGGCCAAGAUGCCAAUAUGAAUUAUACUUAUGAAGAUGAACUUGUUAUAGUUCCUUAUAUUAAGAAUGAAAUUGUUGCUAUUGCACCCACGCAUGAUAGUCCUAUUAUCUUUUUGAAUUCUCCCGACUACACUAUAUCGGAGAAGUUUGUCCUUAUUAAGGAUUAUAUUGACGGAUUUUGUUUUACUACUACACAUGAUGAUUUUGACAGAUAUAAUAUGCAUGUGCUUGCUGCUCCUACUUGCAAUUAUUAUGAGAGAGGAACUACAUCUCCGCCUCUCUAUGUUUCCAACAUGAUAAAAUUGCAAGAAACUGUUUAUACUAUGCAUUGGCCUUUAUUGUUCUUCUAUGACAUGCCGAUGCAUAGUAAGAGAGUUAGACUUCGUCAUUGCUUGAUAUAUGUUUCUUUGUGCUCACUACUAAAUGACAAAUCAUUGCUAAUUCAAAUUGGCUUUAAUAUACCUUGGGAUCCAGGUGGAUUCUUUACAUGA